UUCCUACGGGGGGCAGCAGUAGGGAAUCUUUCACAAUGGGCGAAAGCCUGAUGGAGCAACGCCGCGUGCAGGAUGAAGGCCUUCGGGUUGUAAACUGCUUUUAUAAGCGAGAAAUAUGAUGGUAACUUAUGAAUAAGGAUCGGCUAACUACGUGCCAGCAGCCGCGGUAAUACGUAGGGGGCAAGCGUUAUCCGGAUUUACUGGGUGUAAAGGGAGCGUAGACGGCAUUGCAAGUCUGAUGUGAAAGAUUGGGGCUCAACCCCAGGCCUGCAUUGGAAACUGUAAAGCUGGAGUACAGGAGAGGU
rnacentral:rRNA from 1 species